UUUGAAGCAGCAUAGACCUUAUCAUUGACGUAAAUCACUUGUCAGCAAAUUUUUAGUCUGCUCUCUUUAGCCAUGUUCAAAAAUUUUGCACACAUAGGUAUUUAUUCAAUCGGCCUUUUAUAACCCGGCAUUUUUACGAAUUCCCAAAAUGAUAACUUAAUGCAGACAGGAAGGCUGGUUGACGGUUGUUCUCAUCACAAUGCAAUAUCAGAAAUGAAAAUUUACUCUUCAACAAUGAAAAUACUAACUACCACUGUGGAAAUAAGUGUGGAUUUGGAUAUGCGGGUGAUCUGCGCUACGUUCGCUAUUGCUCUACUCCUUCCACUUCUGUUCAGCUACUUGCGAAGAUAUCUCUACGGCAUCGCAUUUCGGGAAUAAUGGUCGCAGUUCGUCACUGCAUGCACGGUUCAGUUAGAGGAUGAUUACAGCCACCGCCGGAUCUUAGCGGACAGCAGUGAACAACCAUAGACACCGCUGGACAAUAGCAGAUACUAUCCGGACAACACGGACGGCGGGUACCGGACUACAGCAAAUAUCACCGGCAGGACAGCAGUGGACACCGGACAACAGCAGACAGUGGACAGCAAUGGACACUGCCGAACAGCGGUGAACAUAUUGGACAGCAGCGGACAAAGGGCAGCACCAGACAGAAGCGAACACCGAAAAGUGACGGACACUGGAUAGAAGUGGACACCGGCAAGAUGUGGGCACCCGUCCGACGAAAAACGGACACCAGUCGCUGCUGACCGAGUACCGACCGAGGGUCCAUGGGUUAGUUCGACCCAUGCAGCUACUGCCGCUGACGCCGUGUUUCUGAGCUCCAGACAGGGAACGCACAGUCUUUUAUGUCGAAUUUCUUGCAACAACUAAAUAGCUUGGAUAUAUUACUUUGAGGUGAUUGAUCCAUCCGUCAUAUCUACAUUUUCUCCACGGAUUAGCACGUUUCUGAUGACCGUCACCCGUCAGGUCAGGUUACUAAAAUCAUCCGCUGCCGGGACGGUCACGAGUCUAAUAGUGAAAGCCCAUGGCAUACCUUCAUCCGCUUUCCGUUGACGAUAUUUCAGCCUCAACGCAAUUAGAACACUGAAACAAUAGAAAUGAGAGGACGAGGAA